UGCGCGCUUGGAGAUGGCGUUCCUCCUGGGAAACCGAACCGCAGCAUUCGCUGCCGAUGACGCCUACAGUUAC
rnacentral:ncRNA from 1 species